CUGAGUGUUUGACGCUCUGCCUUUGGGGGAGGCCGGUUUUAUAAACCAGCCACAGAAAGCAGGCGUUCAGAAAAGGAAAAUCCAAAAAGACAGUUUCUGUCAGCAACAAGGAAAUGGAAGUCACAGGCAAAACCAGAAAACCCCCUCCCUGGAGUAACCGUGAUCUGCAGGAUAAUUGGGCCAAGCUCUCUCAUCCGGGAGUGCACACUGAUGGCCAUGUCAGGACCCCAGGAACUGCUUAGCUCUGACAAUUUUAGGAGUUUGCCUGGCAAAAGGACACCGUCUGCAAACAUCUCAAGUUCAAUGGUGACCAACGAGUUAGGGGACUCUGCCACUACGGCAGAGUCCAAAUCAUCAGGCUUCGCUUGGAGGCUUGAAAUGAAGAAUGAGAUCCUAGAAUCAUAUACAAUAAUAAUGAGCCUUGAGAUUUCAUUUUUAAAAGGUGUCAGGAGCAAAGUGUAACCCCCGCCGCUGCAACUCUUUCAGAGCUCCUGAGAUGAUGAUCCUGCUGCUCGCACCUAUUGACUAGCUUGGAUCUACAGCCAUUCACGGGAGAAGAUUCUGGACAAUAUGGCUGCUGUGGGAUGUCUUUCCAUAUGCUGUGAAUAUGUGUGGCUCCCAU